ACCAGUGUCAAAUAAAACAUGAGCAAUAUGGUUACAGAUAGUGUACAUACCCUGUACCACGUCUGGGUCGGCAUCGGCAUCUUGGUGUGUGAGGUUGUAAACCCUGCCCUGAAUAGGAGGUCUUCCUUGGUUCUGGUUCCUCAGGCACUCUCUCGCAUAGUGCUGGGCACUACCACAUAUGCGACAGGUGUUGUUGAGGUGAUAGCAUGGUCGGUCCCCCUGAUCCCUGCCGCAGUGCUGACAGAUCUUGCCACGUGCUGCCCCUGGAGCCUGAGGAGGAGCCUGGAUUGCGGGUCUGGGCCUCUUAUUUUAUUGGACAGGCGCAGUAGGUGCUGGUCUACGGGGUGGAGCUGAGGGUCUGUGACUCCCUG
rnacentral:lncRNA from 1 species